UACAGAGGUGGCAAGCGUUGUUCGGAAUUACUGGGCGUAAAGCGCACGUAGGCGGAUCAGUCAGUCAGGGGUGAAAUCCCGGGGCUCAACCCCGGAACUGCCUUUGAAACUGCUGGUCUGGAGGUCGAGAGAGGCGAGUGGAAUUCCGAGUGUAGAGGUGAAAUUCGUAGAUAUUCGGAGGAACACCAGUGGCGAAGGCGGCUCGCUGGCUCGAUACUGACGCUGAGGUGCGAAAGCGUGGGGAGCAAACAGG
rnacentral:rRNA from 1 species